GAGUAACCCAAAAAGAUGCAAGAAUUAAUAGCUGUGGAUGUGGGGAGGGGGCCCAUAGAGAAUGCUGUUCUACAGGGUCCAGAAUUUGGUGCUACGCCCCUACG